AGACAAUGAAAAGUAAAUACGAUAAUAAAAGAUGUAAAGCCAAAGCGUAUAAAGAAGGAGAUUUGGUCAUGGUCCAAAAACAGUCCAAAACCCCCGGUGAAAGUCAAAAACUUGUUUCACCGUUCAGCGGUCCAUAUCGUGUGACAGCCGUGUUUGACCACGAUCGCUAUGAGGUUUGUAGUGUCGAAGGUUACUCAAAAAAGAGAUAUAAAAGUGUAUUUCCGAUUGAUAAACUAAAGCCGUGGGUUCGUUUUGUCGAGUCGGAAACAGACGAUAAUUUCGAAGACAGCGAAUAGUGUAACCGGCAUUGUCAUAGUGCACUUAUUAGUAAUGGUUGAUUUCAGUUGGUAACAUUAUCAUCAGAAUGUUAGUUUAAUUUUAUAUAUGUUUUAUUUCCUUCUCUCUCCUUACCAAUAUAUACUAUUAAUAUUUAAUCCACUCCACUCUACCCCUGGCACCACCACCGCUGUUUGGACUGCACGGAACCACCGCUGGAUGGGACCGCAGCAUGUGGUCUAUGUAAGCGGCAACCAGCAGAUUAAUGGUCACCCUGAGGAGGUCAAUGCAGCCGGUCAGAAAACGAGAUGACUUUACCGACACCAAGCGGCUACCGGAAGCUGCUACGUUAUGGGUCGGAUCCUCGAGCCGGACUGAAGGAAGCUGCGCUACAUUGUAGAAGUUGCUGCCUGCAGUGGCUGCGGGCUUAAGAAUGUGUUGUGAAGGCGGCGAAGUGCAUACAAUACGCCAACAUCUGUCCAAUAUCAACCGAAUGAGGACAUUCGUACACGGUGGGAUGGCCGAAAAGAGAAGAGGAAACUGCAGCUUAGCGAUAGUGGAUGUGUUUAUUAUCUUUUAUUUUAUUUUUAUUUGUUUUUUGUUUCCCCGAGUAUGUUGGGGUUUGUUCCUACUAACUCUAAGAAGACUUCCUAUUUUGACAAAUGGCGUCAUUGGUGAACAAGUGAUAAAAGACUGAUUAAAGAACACAAGUUUAACUGCAAUCGUGUGAAAAUUAAUGGAGGCCUUUAUAUCGAUAAUCGGCUAAGUGAUUGAUCUCAAUUUUUUUUUAAUCAUUAUUAGUACAUAACAUUGUUCAAAGAUUUUAAGGCUAAGUGUUAAAGGUUAGAUUAUGUUUAUCUAUGUCCUGUGCCUGGGACAGGCACUAAUUCAGGAUGGUCGACUGUUAAAGAUUUCAUAGUUUUACCUUAUAAAAGAUGUAUUUUUAUAAGGUGGCAACUCAAGAUAUGCCAGCUGUCAGGGCAUUCGAAUAAAAAACGAAACUCUAGUAGUGACGAUCUGUAAUAAAAAUAUCAAUAAAUAAGUGAAGAACCUGUG